ensembl:lncRNA
GGAAAGGGAGCGGAUGAGAGGAGAAAUGUAACUUCAAGAUAAGGAUGCAAAUGUCAAGAAGCCACUGCUGUUGUGAGCUGCUACUCAGGCCUCUUGAUUGCAAAUGAUAAAAACCAAACUGGAACUAGUUUCGUGGAGAAGACUUUAUUGGAAGGAUGCUGUGGUGACUGACAUUGUAACAGAAUGGAAAUGGUGAUGCCUCAGAGGCAGCUAGGAUCAGGGCCCUGGAGCUAUCAGAGCACCAUCUCUCUGUCUAUCUUCAUUGCCUCUGUGUGUUGGUUUUAGUCUGUUCCACCACGAACCAGCUUCUUCCAUAUAAGGGAAGUGUCAUCCUUGAAUUUUCCCUAAACUCUUACAUUAUGGUCUUAUCUCCACAAAAGGAAUGUCCCUCUCCCUUAGGUUCAAUUUGAAAAAUUCCAGGAAGGUGGAUGAGCUCACCCUGGGCCAACUGAAGGAGACAAAAAAGGUGAGGUAUGAGGAUUAGCUAACACCACAUCGUUGGAGUGGGGAGGAAAGAUAGUUCUCUAGGAAAGAUAGAGUUUUAUUUUAAGAAGAAAGCAAGCUUGACAAGCCUAACAGUGCGUAUUCACCCUAUCAUCUGCUAUAAAAGUUCCUGGAUAAGGAUCUCCACGUGAAACAAUUGGAAAUUGAGAGUGAAGCCAUCUGAUGGUAACCAUGUCAGGUCAUACUUUGCCGCCUCCAGGACAUCUUCUGUUGAUUCUUCCACGCUGGGAUAGAUUUCCUCUCGUGACCAGCACAGUGCCUGAUACAGAGUAAACAUGGAAAGAGAAGAACCUGGAAGAAAAUUCCUCAUUGCCCUAGAGGUGAACCUGAACUUCCUUGCUCCCUGUCGUGGGUAUCCAGAGAACUUUGUUUUCCUGCUCUUGUCAACCUCAUGUUUAACCCUGCUGGUUUUCAUUUACUUUAUAAUUCAAUCAUAAUGAAUUUUAAAAUCCAUUCUAACUUCCAAGGAUCUCUAGAGACUUGCUUCAUCAGUCUGACAUCACGUUCAUUUACAUUUCUUAUUUUUUCGUUUCCUUGUAAGAGGUCUAAGCACUGUUCCAAUAAAACACUUUUAAGAUUGCAUUACACAUACUGUGUGCUAUUUAUUCCUGGCUACAUGUUCAAACUAACAAGCAAGAAAUUGCCUAUGCCCUGAUCAACUGUUAUAAACUGUAAUGCUAUAUCUGUUAUAAUUGAAAAAAAAAUUGGACCUGGACUAUUCUUUUGUAACCAUCUAAGCUAAUAGUUUACAUGGAAAAUAUUUAUACAAAAAUUGUAGCCAAUUCAAGUUCAAGGAGAUGUUACAGGCCAUUCAGCUUGAUCAUUCUCUCAAGAUGGUAAGUUCUUAGGUAUUUCCCAUGAUAAAUAAUCGUCUGUCUUUUGCCUGGCGUGUUCCAGGCAAAGAGAACACAUUAAUUCUAAAGUCAUCUUCUUCCUUUGGUGGGCAGUUCUUUUUGAUGGGAAAUUAUUUCUCAUAUUGAAUAUAACCCACUGCUCUCAAAAACAACAUAGGUUGGAGCUGAUCACCAUCUUCCGUGAUAGCCUUCAAAUAUUUGGAGACAGGUAUUUUGUUUCCUAAUAUGUUAUAAAUCGACAGAUUGUACUGGUGGAGCUCAGUACGUGGAAGGUACAUAAAUAUAAUUUAAUUCUAUUGUUUUACAGAUAAGUAAAAUAAACAGGAGGAGACGUUGAGUAACAUGCCCAACAUCACACAUUUGUUCAUUCAAUCAUUGUGUACUCAGACACCAACUUAAUAAAUUUACAGUUUUAUUAUCUAUUAUAUACAAUUUUAUAAUUUAGUAUAACAUACAAAAUUUUGCAAUUUACUAUAACAAAUAAGUUAUGAAGAAAUUUAUAAUUUAUUACAUAAAUAACAUUGAAGACCUCACUGAAUUACAGUCACUCCGUUCUCCUCCUUCCCUACCCAGAGACUACCACUAACCUCUAUUGGUUGUUUAACAUUCAAACAUAUUGUAUCAGUUAGUGUUCCAGCAGAGAAACAGAAACACUAUGAGUGAUAUGGAAUUGGGGAUUUAUGAUAGGGAUUUGAUUUUACAUGGUUGUAGAUGCUGUCGAAGAAGUGGAAGCUUAUUGCCUCUGCAUCUGGGCCUGAAGUCUUGUAGGUUAGUAGGUCUGACAGUCAAGAACACGAGCCAGACAUGAAGUGGGGCAGAACAAGGACAAACCAGAACAUAAGUUAGUCCCUCACUGCCUCCAGGCUUGGUGAUCCUGGUGAAAUAGAAGGAGCUGCUGCCCUUUGCCGUGGAGCCACACACACACCCGGCAUUGGACUCAGAGUAAGUGAAGGAGGGUAGCAGGCUUGGAGGAGCUGCAGGCCUGGCUGGUGCUCCAUGCCAACAAGGUGAGCAACAGUCAGAUACAAUAUGUGCAAUCUGUAGUGGCUCCUGGUAACUACAGAAUUCAUACUGACCUUCAGAGCAAAAUGGCUGCCCCACUGAGCACCAUCAAUUCUCUAAAUGCUGUGUAGUUAUCUAGGGGCCAGCAUUUAACCUCUGCAGGUCGUCCAAAGCUGGAGCUCAUCAGCAGAGACGACCUGCAGAUCUCUUCCUUCACCCUAUUUACUCCCAAAUAUUUCUCUGUGUGGCUCAGUUUUAUAUUUUCUGCAGGACUACUGGGUUGGAUUAAAAAUGGCAACCUCUGAAACAUUUUCUCCUUUAAUCAUUUGUCAGUGGAGAGUGGGUGGUGAAAAAUGAGAAUCAAUGCAGUGCCUACAUUGUCCUGAGGGUGAACUGAGAUGAUUAUGAUGUACUUAGUUCAGUGAGAGGCAUACAGUAAGUGCUCAAUAAAUAGUGGUCAAUAUAAAUGUUAAUAUUAUUAUUGCACUUAAAAUUUCUUCUGCUUCUACUUGUGUGUCUCAUUAUUCAACUAUACAUUUCUUGAAUUUAGGAUCUGUGGCCGAUUCAGUCCUAUAUCCUCAGAAGCCUAGCUUAGAGCCUGACCUAUUUAGAGAUUCAAUACCUGGAGAUUGUAUUGAAAAUGACUUCAUAAGACUCUUUCCUGGGAUCAAUUUUUAGAAGGAGGAGAGAGAUGUAUGAAGAUACUGGGCACAUAAGAAUGAAGGGGGCACUGGGGAAAGAAAUACUCAAAUGUCAAUCAUACUGUUUGCAUGAAUUUUGUGAUGUUAGAUCUCAAGAUGUACUUGACUUAUUCUGUAGAUGGUGUUGGUACCAUUGGCUAAUGCUUUAGACGAAAUAGAGUUAUAUCCCUAUCUAACACCAUAUGGUAAAAGGAAUUCCAAGUGGAUUAAAUAUUUAAAUGGAAAAAUUAAAGCCAUCAAAGUUUGGAGGAAAAUGGGUAGGGAUGAGUAUGUGACCUUGGAGCAACGUUUCCUAAGCAUGUCACCAAAGAGGGAUUGCAUAAAAGAUUUAAUCUUGUAAAAAUAAGAACAAAAAUCUGUAUUUAAAGAUCUUGAUGAACUAAAGAGGAAAAGAACAAAUUGUAAUGACAUUUGCAAAAUAUAUGACUGUGUUAAUAUUCCUAACAUGUUAGAGACUCUAAUAAACCAGUAUGAAAAAUAUAAACAAAUCAAUAGAAAAAUGGACAAAGAGCAUGCACAGCCACUUCUAUAUACUGCAGGUGGAACCAUACCUGGUAGAUGGGUACCAUCUUUCUGGAAAGCAAAUUUGCAUCAAAAGCCUUGAAUAUGUAUUUAUAUUUUGCCCUAGGAAUUUCAAUUUAAGGAAUUUAUAAUACUGUAUCCAAAGAUUUAACUGUAAGAACAUUUAUCAAAGUGUCGUUUGUAAGCAGAAUUACAAUUCUAUUUCCCAAAUGACUAUAGUGGCCUUCCUGACAUUUGCAUUUUAGUUCUCUGGGUGUUGCCUAGGUCAGUGUGAAUCGUUACACGAUAGAUUUAUACAUCAGCAUCACAAGCUUGGUUAAUGUGCGUCUUCUCCUGAGAUCUAUUUGGGCAUAUGAAGGAAACAUGUUUCUGAGCCUAUAUGUUUGAGAAUUCAGAUGCUGGAAUUC